UACGUAGGUGGCAAGCGUUGUCCGGAUUUAUUGGGUUUAAAGGGUGCGUAGGCGGCCCUGUAAGUCAGUAGUGAAAUACUCCAGCUUAACUGGAGGGGUGCCAUUGAUACUGCAGGGCUUGAGUGGAGUCGAAGUAGGCGGAAUUGACGGUGUAGCGGUGAAAUGCUUAGAUAUCGUCAAGAACACCGAUAGUGAAGACAGCUUACUAGGCUUCUACUGACGCUGAGGCACGAAAGUGUGGGGAUCAAACAGG
rnacentral:rRNA from 1 species